ACUUACCUAGAUAUCCUUAGAAGACUCAUUAGUGGGUAUAGAGGGAGGAGGAGAAUGUUGUGUAAUUUCAUGUUACAUGAUUACAUUUGGGAAAAUUUCAUGAUCCAUUUGGCACGCAUCCUCAUUUUGUAAAUUCAUCCCAUUAUUUUCUCUUAACUAUUUUUCACUAGAACUUUUAGCACCUCUAUAUGCAUCAAUUAACUCCUUUUAUUUACAUUGGCUCUUUUGGGUACCUCUGUAAAUUUUCCACCAACACCUACUUCAUCUUCACCAUACUUCUCCCCCU
rnacentral:lncRNA from 1 species